rnacentral:lncRNA from 1 species
UUCCUGCAGAAUCCCAGUGUGGUGGCAGUUUCCAAAUUACAUGAGAUGAGCUAGGGAUCCUCUCCAAGAUCACAGACUUUUCUAUGACCCCUGACAGGCCAGGCGUAGGGCCAUGAACAUGAGUGAUUUGAGUCAAGCAGGUGCACUAUCCAACACACACCUUACAGCCCUAAUAAUAUUUUAUUAUACAUACUAUUAUUUAUUAAUAGAAAGUUUAUAUUUGUAAUAGAGUCUUAAAUAUUUAUAUAAAAGAGCUACAUACAUUAACAGGGCUUACAUCAUUAAUAUAGGGUAAUACUAUUCUCACUUUCAAUUGAGGAAACAGGCUCAGAACACUAAUAAUUAGUUCGAGAUGAUGGAGCUGAAAAGCCAGACUUUAUAUGCAAUGUUUCUGAUUUCUAAAUGGCAAAAAUUUACAUAUUUGUUAAGAAACGCUAUUUUGGGUCAGGCGUGGUGAUGUGUGCCUGUCCUCCCAGCCACUCUGGAGGCCAAGGUGGGAGGAUUACUUGAGGCCAGAAGUUGGAGGCUGCAGUGAGCCAUGAUUGUACCACUGCACUCCAGUCGGGGCAGGAGAGUGAAAGGCUGUCUCAAAACAAACAAAAAAUAUAUGCUCUUUGGGCCUGGACUGGACAGGCCACACAAAAUACCCCUGGGGAAGAAGGAGAUUUGACUCCUGGCUUGCAGCCUGUGUAGGGCCACCAAGUGAUCAGGUGGGGUCUGGGGUCAGGGAAUCCUGGGCCCAGCUGCUAGUUCCAUCACUUACAAGCUGGUGCUUGCUGAGCUCACUUGGUACCUGGGGAUGGUCCUAGCAUCUUAUGCACAGGGGUUAGGCUCCAGGUGAGGUUCCAGGGCAGAGGCCUGGGGUUUUGCCCACGCCUGAGGCAGAGUGACAA